CGGUGACGUGUUCAAGAACGGCGGAGAUUCUUUUCUCGACUUCGUUCUUGGAUGCGAGUGAAGUGUUCAAGAAGACGGCGCAACGGAGGAGAGAACAGAGGAAGUUGAUCGGGAAAAGUCCUUUGUCUGAAGGUAAGAGAGAGACGAUUGAUUCCACGAGAUGUCUCUGUUGAGUUCUCUCCUCGGAGUCGUUGUUCUCGGGAUCGGAAAACUUGACUCCUCUGCCGGAAUGGUCUCUGACGAGGUCUCUUAAGGAUCUCUCGGUGUAGGUGAUGAUUGCGGAGGCUAAGGAAGAUGGCUUGAGGCCCUUCUGCUUCAUGGAAGCUAAGACGUCGGCCAAGAAGUUGAUGUUUAAGAUACAGAGCUCCUCUGUCCACCAGUUCGGUGGUGAUCGGCACGGUAACAUUGCCUCGUCGCAAGCCUUUUCAAAACAUAAAUAAAUAAUGAAAAUAUAACACAAAUUAGUUUAUGUAAUAAGCACUACAAAAACUAAUGGAGGCAAACCUAUCUUGCAUAAUUGAUACGUGAGACUCAAGGAACUGAACAAAGAUAUGUUGAACCGAAUCAAACCGAACCGAAACCAAAUCUAAAUAGCUUAUACGAAAAUGAUUGUAAACUCUAGCACGGUUAAUUAAUUCACUUUUGACAUUGAAAGCGAAUAAAAAUUACAACGUAGUAAUUAAUGUAUGAUUGUAAACUCUAGCACGGUUAAUUAAUUCACUUUUGACAUUGAAAGCGAAUAAAAAUUACAACGUAGUAAUUAAUGUAAAUCAUAAGAGCACUUUCAUCCAUAGAUAUUUAGUGAGUAUCUAAGUAAUCGAGAAAAAAAAAAUUUAGUAGAGAGAACAAGAGUUUCUCAAAAAGAACUUAUAAGAUACUCUUGAGAAAUUCUUGUACCUUUUUAAAAUUGAAAGCCUAUUUACAGAAAAAAAUACUCUUUAAGAAAUUAUAAUGUCAUGUGGCAACCUAAGCUUUUUUUUUUAAGAUAAAAAUUAAUUCAAUAACAAAAUUUUAUUAAUAUCAAUUUUCUUAAGUUUAGAACCUUAUGGUUAAUGGAUUCUAGAGUGGCGUGUAUUUUGGUUACUACUAUGUAAAACUUGGAAUUAUAAAACUUAACCUAAACAUCAAUGUUUUUAAAAACUCUUUAGAUAGCAAAUCGGCCAUAAACAAAACAAAAAAAUUUAGAUCGAUCGGUCUAUGCGGCGGCGUGUCUAGGUCCGCCUAAAUGUUAAUCCUCUAUAAAGCGCCUAAAUAUAAAGAUUUUAUUGAACAUUACUAAACACUAACCAAAACCAGGAUCUAAGUUUAACACUUAGAAAGCAAAUGAGAAUGAAUUACGAGUUAAAACCUUAGUACCGACAACGUCCACACAACGGCGGACAAUACCAAGAUCACGAGAAAUAGGAAGGAGUAUCUCGCAAGACUUGAGGACCACGAUGGCUCCGGAGAGGCUAGAGAGAGCGACUUGAGAAAGGAAGUCUUGUGUCCGACCAGCGAGGUUGUUGUCGCAGUACUUGUCAGUCAUCUGAAGAAACUCAGCGGCGCAUUGAAGAGCCGCCACGUUCUGGACGGUGAUUUCAAAGCUAACACCGUAACAGAAUUUAGCAGCUUUCUCGAACAUCUCAGCACCUCCGGGGAUAUCCGAGAGAUCUAUUCUCGUCACGUCACUGUCUUUGGAUUCCAUUAUUAGCUUCCUUAUGUAGUUGCUCUUCGCCACUAGCAUGAACUACAUGAGAUUAAAAGGAAAUUAUAAAUAGAAACUCAUGUUGUUAUUAACCAUUUUUGACCUAGGCAUGUACCUGUAAAGUAAUAAUUUGUACUAAUGUCUCAUAUCGUAUAACAAACUCAUAGCUCAGUACUUUCAAUUCGUUUGUAUGAGUUAUAGACGACAAAACAAAAAGAAAAUUUUUAUCUAUACAAACGAAUUUGCUUCUUUUACUCAUCAAUAUUAGAAGUAUCCUUAGACCCAUGUCUAAAUGGAUUCAACUUCCCAAGCUUCUUCGAAACAGACGAGAAGAAAGUAUGUUUGCUGUUCUUCUUAUUACUCGGUGCAUUCGAAGAAGAAGCUCCUGCUGCAACAUUAUUUUGUAGAUCCGAAACAUACAUCUUCAUCUUCAUCAGCUCACUCCUCAAAUCUUCGUUCUCUUUAGCCAACGAACUAUCACGUGUCCCUAAAGCCUCAGGGACUAUAACUGGUGUUCCUUCUUUGUCUUCAACCUCGCUUCUUAGCUUUAACUGAUCGUAGUAAAGAGCGUGAAGAACGAUGUUCACUGGUAACCUCUUGUUCUGCGAAGCAUGAAGACGUGCAUCGCAAGAAAGCUUGAGAGGAUCCAUUAAGCUACAAACUUUCUCUCUUUCGAUCUCGCCUAGGCUCGGAUGAGCUUUCAAGAAGAUGUCUACCGCUCUAUAAAGAUCGUCUUCUGACUUUCUAGCGGACUUGGGAACUAGGUUUGCUAUCGCGUUGAACUUGGAUACCGUGAGCUCCAAGCAAGUAGCGAUCUCUGCUAAGUAGGAGUCAACGGUCUUCGCAACUCUUUGUAGCGAGACAGAACAUAACCCUUUUUUGCUUUUCUCCUUUUCGACGAAAGCAGAGAUGAUUCUUCUGACGCUGUCUAGAUCUAAUAGUCUCUCGCCGUCGUAGGUGAAAGAAGGUACCAAGAGAUCAUCGACGGUGACGUGUUCAAGAACGGCGGAGAUUCUUUUCUCGACUUCGUUCUUGGAUGCGAGUGAAGUGUUCAAGAAGACGGCGCAACGGAGGAGAGAACAGAGGAAGUUGAUCGGGAAAAGUCCUUUGUCUGAAGGUAAGAGAGAGACGAUUGAUUCCACGAGAUGUCUCUGUUGAGUUCUCUCCUCGGAGUCGUUGUUUUCGGGAUCGGAAAACUUGACUCCUCUGCCGGAAUGGUCUCUGACGAGGUCUCUUAAGGAUCUCUCGGUGUAGGUGAUGAUUGCGGAGGCUAAGGAAGAUGGCUUGAGGCCCUUCUGCUUCAUGGAAGCUAAGACGUCGGCCAAGAAGUUGAUGUUUAAGAUACAGAGCUCCUCUGUCCACCAGUUCGGUGGUGAUCGGCACGGUAACAUUGCCUCGUCGCAAGCCUUUUCAAAACAUAAAUAAAUAAUGAAAAUAUAACACAAAUUAGUUUAUGUAAUAAGCACUACAAAAACUAAUGGAGGCAAACCUAUCUUGCAUAAUUGAUACGUGAGACUCAAGGAACUGAACAAAGAUAUGUUGAACCGAAUCAAACCGAACCGAAACCAAAUCUAAAUAGCUUAUACGAAAAUGAUUGUAAACUCUAG
rnacentral:lncRNA from 1 species